UACGGGGGGGGCAAGCGUUGUUCGGAAUUACUGGGCGUAAAGCGCACGUAGGCGGAUUGCUAAGUCAGGGGUGAAAUCCUGGAGCUCAACUCCAGAACUGCCUUUGAUACUGGCGACCUUGAGUCCGGGAGAGGUGAGUGGAACUCCGAGUGUAGAGGUGAAAUUCGUAGAUAUUCGGAGGAACACCAGUGGCGAAGGCGGCUCACUGGUCUGGUACUGACGCUGAGGUGCGAAAGCGUGGGGAGCAAACAGG
rnacentral:rRNA from 1 species